UCAGGAUGAACGCUAGCGAUAGGCCUAACACAUGCAAGUCGAGGGGCAGCAUAUGACGUAGCAAUACAGAUGAUGGCGACCGGCGGAUGGGUGAGUAACACGUAUGCAACCUACCUUUAACACGGGCAUAACUCGAAGAAAUUCGUGCUAAUUCCCGAUAAAACAGGGGCGCCGCAUGGCGAUAUUUGUUAAAGAUUAAUCGGUUAAAGAUGGGCAUGCGUUCCAUUAGCUAGUUGGUGAGGUAACUGCUCACCAAGGCAACGAUGGAUAGGGGGACCUGAGAGGUUUAUCCCCCACACUGGUACUGAGACACGGACCAGACUCCUACGGGAGGCAGCAGUGAGGAAUAUUGGUCAAUGAGCGAAAGCUUGAACCAGCCAAGUCGCGUGAAAAGGAUGAAUGUCCUAAGGAUUGUAAACUUCUUUUAUACAGGAAUAAAGUUAGCCACGUGUGGUUAUUUGCAUGUACUGUAUGAAUAAGGAUCGGCUAACUCCGUGCCAGCCGCAGC
rnacentral:rRNA from 1 species